GAUGAACGCUGGCGGCGUGCCUAAUACAUGCAAGUCGAGCGAACGGACGAGAAGCUUGCUUCUCUGAUGUUAGCGGCGGACGGGUGAGUAACACGUGGAUAACCUACCUAUAAGACUGGGAUAACUUCGGGAAACCGGAGCUAAUACCGGAUAAUAUUUUGAACCGCAUGGUUCAAAAGUGAAAGACGGUCUUGCUGUCACUUAUAGAUGGAUCCGCGCUGCAUUAGCUAGUUGGUAAGGUAACGGCUUACCAAGGCAACGAUGCAUAGCCGACCUGAGAGGGUGAUCGGCCACACUGGAACUGAGACACGGUCCAGACUCCUACGGGGGGCAGCAGUAGGGAAUCUUCCGCAAUGGGCGAAAGCCUGACGGAGCGACGCCGCGUGAGUGAUGAAGGUCUUCGGAUCGUAAAACUCUGUUAUUAGGGAAGAACAUAUGUGUAAGUAACUGUGCACAUCUUGACGGUACCUAAUCAGAAAGCCACGGCUAACUACGUG
rnacentral:rRNA from 1 species